rnacentral:rRNA from 1 species
GACGAACGCUGGCGGCGUGCUUAACACAUGCAAGUCGAGCGGAAAGGCCCUUCGGGGUACUCGAGCGGCGAACGGGUGAGUAACACGUGAGUAACCUGCCCCAGACUUUGGGAUAACCCUCGGAAACGGGGGCUAAUACCGGAUACGACACAGCUUCGCAUGGGGUCUGUGUGGAAAGUUUUUCGGUUUGGGCUGGGCUCGCGGCCUAUCAGCUUGUUGGUGGGGUGAUGGCCUACCAAGGCGACGACGGGUAGCCGGCCUGAGAGGGCGACCGGCCACACUGGGACUGAGACACGGCCCAGACUCCUACGGGAGGCAGCAGUGGGGAAUAUUGCACAAUGGGCGGAAGCCUGAUGCAGCGACGCCGCGUGAGGGAUGACGGCCUUCGGGUUGUAAACCUCUUUCAGCAGGGACGAAGCGUAAGUGACGGUACCUGCAGAAGAAGCGCCGGCCAACUACGUG